GUAGGGAAUAUUGCGCAAUGGGGGAAACCCUGACGCAGCGACGCCGCGUGAGUGAUGAAGGCCUUCGGGUCGUAAAGCUCUGUUGCAGGGGAAUAAAAAAAUGAAGGUACCCUGUGAGGAAGGAUCGGCUAACUUCGUGCCAGCAGCCGCGGUAAGACGAGGGAUCCUAGCGUUGCUCGGAAUCAUUGGGCGUAAAGAGGGCGUAGGUGGCUUGGUAAGUCAGGUGUGAAAGCCCAGGGCUCAACCCUGGAAGUGCAUUUGAUACUGCUGAGCUUGAGUGUCGGAGAGGUUACCGGAAUACCUGGUGUAGUGGUGAAAUACGUAGAUAUCAGGUGGAACACCGGAGGCGAAGGCGGGUAACUGGACGAACACUGACACUGAGGCCCGAAAGCGUGGGGAUCAAACAGGAUUAGAUACCCGGGUAGUC
rnacentral:rRNA from 1 species